UACGAAGGGGGCUAGCGUUGCUCGGAAUCACUGGGCGUAAAGCGCACGUAGGCGGAUUGCUAAGUCAGGGGUGAAAUCCUGGAGCUCAACUCCAGAACUGCCUUUGAUACUGGCGGUCUCGAGUCCGGGAGAGGUGAGUGGAACUGCGAGUGUAGAGGUGAAAUUCGUAGAUAUUCGGAAGAACACCAGUGGCGAAGGCGGCUCACUGGUCCGGUACUGACGCUGAGGUGCGAAAGCGUGGGGAGCAAACAGG
rnacentral:rRNA from 1 species